rnacentral:rRNA from 1 species
UUCUUUAAAUUUAAAGAUUUUGGCGGUAUUUUAGUCCAAUCAGAGGAACCUGUCCUGUAAUCGAUGGUCCACGAUUUAUAUCACUUAUUUUUAAUUUACAUAUCGUCGUGGUUUGAAUAUUUUAUAAGAAUUUAAUAUUCAUUGUUCUUUAUUAAGAAAGAUAUCAGAUCAAGGUGUAGUUUAUAAUUAAGUAGAGGUGGGUUACAAUAAUUUUAUUUAAAUGGUUCAAUAACUGAGAUGUUAAUGAUAAAGUGGAUUUGAAAGUAAUUAAAACGAAUUUGUUUUAAUGAUUAAAGGCUCUAAAAUAUGUACAUAUCGCCCGUCGCUUUCACAAUAAAGUGGAAUAAGUCGUAACAAAGUAGGCUUACUGGAAAGUGAGCCUAGAAAGACAAAUUGGAGCUUGAUAUAAAGCGUUUUAUUUACAUUAAAAAGUUAACUGUGGAAUUCAGUUUAAUUUGAAUGAAAAUGUUUAUUUAGUUUAAAAGUUAAUUUUUGUUUAGUAUGAGUAAAUUAUUGUUAAUUAUUGCUAAGAAAUAAUUUGUUUUAUGAUAGAGUAUAAGUAUCGUGAGAGAAGGCAUACUUAUUUGAAUAAGAAGAAUUUUUUUGUACCUUGUGUAUCAGGGUUUAUUAAAUAAUAAUUAUGAAUUUAAUAUUCUCGAAUUAAGAAGAGCUAUUUAAUUAUAUUUUUUAUUGUAGAAUAACUAUUAUUAAUAAUUAAAUAGGAGUGAAAUGUUAUUCAUUUCUUAAUAUAUCUAGUUUUUUAAGAAAUAAAUUUAAUUUUUUUAUUAAUUAUGAAUAAUUUUAUUUAAUAAUUAUUUUUGUUAAUAAAUUAUAUUUAUUGGGAUUAGCUUAUAAAUAUAUUAUUAUAAACAAAUUUUCUUUUCAAAAUCUGUAGGAUUAGAAAUUUUCAUCAUUAUGAGUAUGUUAAAAUUUAUUUUGUUUGUCAUAUGAUUUAUAUUUGUUUUAAUUAGUUUAUUAAAAUAAUAAUUUUAAUAUGAAAAGUUAUGAAAUAAUGAUAAAAUUAGUAUAAUAUGAUUGUUAGUUAUCUUUUUAUAAUAAGGUUAGUUAAAGGAAUUCGGCAAAAUUAUUUUUCACCUGUUUAUUAAAAACAUGGCUUUUUGAUUAUAAUUUAAGGUUUGGCCUGCCCACUGAAAAUUAAAUGGCCGCGGUAAUUUGACCGUGCAAAGGUAGCAUAAUCAGUAGUUUCUUAAUUAGAAGCUGGAAUGAAAGGUUGGAUGAGAAAAUGACUGUCUCUAACUAAUUUUUAUUAGAAUUUUAUUUUUAAGUCAAAAAGCUUAAAUUUAACUUAAAGACGAGAAGACCCUAUAGAAUUUAAUAUAUCUUUAAGUUUAUAGUUUUUGGUAUUAAU